rnacentral:rRNA from 1 species
ACACCUGUACCCAUACCGAACACAGAAGUUAAGCUCUUUAGCGUCGAAUGUAGUUGGGCUUACGCCCUGUGAGACUAGAACGUUGCCAGGC